AGAGUAGAAGUACGAGGACGCUUCCUUCGGGAAGCGAGCGUACACAGGUGCUGCAUGGCUGCCGUCAGCUCGUGUCGUGAGAUGUUGGGUUAAGUCCGUAACGAGCGCAACCCUUGUCCUUAGUUACCAGCACGUUAUGGUGGGCACUCUAAGGAGACUGCCGGUGACAAACCGGAGGAAGGUGGGGAUGACGUCAAGUCAUCAUGGCCCUUACGGCCUGGGCUACACACGUGCUACAAUGGUCGGUACAAAGGGUUGCCAAGCCGCGAGGUGGAGCUAAUCCCAUAAAACCGAUCGUAGUCCGGAUCGCAGUCUGCAACUCGACUGCGUGAAGUCGGAAUCGCUAGUAAUCGUGAAUCAGAAUGUCACGGUGAAUACGUUCCCGGGCCUU
rnacentral:rRNA from 1 species